rnacentral:tRNA from 1 species
GCGAGCGUAGCACAGUGGUAGUGCAGAAGCCUUCCAAGCUUCCUAUGUGGGUUCGAUUCCCAUCGCUCGCUCCA